rnacentral:rRNA from 1 species
UACAGAGGUCUCAAGCGUUGUUCGGAUUCAUUGGGCGUAAAGGGUGCGUAGGUGGCGCGCUAAGUCAGGUGUGAAAUUUCGGAGCUUAACUCCGAAACUGCAUUUGAUACUGGCGUGCUUGAGGACUGGAGAGGAGACUGGAAUUCACGGUGUAGCAGUGAAAUGCGUAGAGAUCGUGAGGAAGACCAGUGGCGAAGGCGGGUCUCUGGACAGUUCCUGACACUGAGGCACGAAGGCCAGGGGAGCAAACAGG